rnacentral:rRNA from 1 species
AGAGUUUGAUCAUGGCUCAGGACGAACGCUGGCGGCGUGCCUAACACAUGCAAGUCGAGCGGUCCGACAUUUAACAUUGAGUAUUCAGUACGAGUUGGCAGAUGAGCCAGCGUCAGGCAGAAAGAUACUUGAGAUCAGAUCAGGUUUUUUGCUUCACGCCAUAUCAAGUGCCGACGCAAAGGCGGACUGAGUAUUGAAUGUUGAAUGUCGGAUAGCGGCGGACGGGUGAGUAACGCGUGGGCAACCUGCCUUUCACAGGGGGAUAACACAGGGAAACUUGUGCUAAUACCGCAUAACAUCAUGUGGGGCAUCUCAUGUGAUCAAAGGAGCAAUCCGGUGAAAGAUGGGCCCGCGUCCAAUUAGCUAGUUGGUGAGGUAAUGGCUCACCAAGGCGACGAUUGGUAGCCGAACUGAGAGGUUGAUCGGCCACAUUGGGACUGAGACACGGCCCAGACUCCUACGGGAGGCAGCAGUGGGGGAUAUUGCACAAUGGAGGAAACUCUGAUGCAGCGACGCCGCGUGAGCGAAGAAGGUCUUCGGAUCGUAAAGCUCUGUCCUAAGGAAAGAUAGUGACGGUACCUUAGGAGGAAGCCCCGGCUAACUACGUGCCAGCAGCCGCGGUAAUACGUAGGGGGCGAGCGUUAUCCGGAAUUAUUGGGCGUAAAGGGUUCGCAGGCGGCCUUGUAAGUCAGAUGUGAAAGACAGCGGCUUAACCGUUGUAAGCAUUUGAAACUGCAGGGCUU